rnacentral:rRNA from 1 species
AGCCAAGUCGCGUGAGGGAAGACGGUCCUAUGGAUUGUAAACCUCUUUUGCCGGGGAGCAAAGAGCGGCACGUGUGCCGCGCCGAGAGUACCCGGAGAAAAAGCAUCGGCUAACUCCGUGCC